AUGAAAAAUUCACUAAAAGUCUAAAGACGAAGACAAGAAAGAAUGCAGAUCAUGCAUCACGAAUUUUAUACAAAACAAUAUUAAGCAUAGUUAAAAUUUUAAGAUCAAGUUCUGCUAACUUUUGUAGUUAAAAGAAACAAUCACAGACCUUCAUUCUGUGUCAUCAAGCUGAUCAAAAUCUUGCAAGAUGAAGAAUCUAAAUUCAGUUGCGCUGUUCCUGAGCCUUUUUAUCCUCUGUGGUAUAGAACG